rnacentral:rRNA from 1 species
UACGAAGGGGGCUAGCGUUGUUCGGAAUCACUGGGCGUAAAGGGCGCGUAGGCGGCUGUUCAAGUCGGGGGUGAAAGCCUGUGGCUCAACCACAGAAUUGCCUUCGAUACUGGACGGCUGGAGACCGGAAGAGGUCAGUGGAACUGCGAAGUGUAGAGGUGAAAUUCGUAGAUAUUCGCAAGAACACCAGUGGCGAAGGCGGCUCACUGGCCCGAUACUGACGCUGAGGUGGCGAAAAGCGUGGGGAGCAAACAGG